rfam:Streptomyces caelestis strain NRRL B-24567 P188contig141.1, whole genome shotgun sequence.
CUUCACCGACCCCAGCCACAACGGCCGGUCCCCCGGCCGGUCCUGACCAUAGGCGGCGAUCAGCGCCUGCGCCUC